UACGUAGGGUGCAAGCGUUGUCCGGAAUUAUUGGGCGUAAAGAGCUCGUAGGCGGUCUGUCGCGUCGGCUGUGAAAACCCGGAGCUCAACUCCGGGCCUGCAGUCGAUACGGGCAGACUGGAGUUCGGCAGGGGAGACUGGAAUUCCUGGUGUAGCGGUGAAAUGCGUAGAUAUCAAGAGGAACACCAGUGGCGAAGGCGAGUCCCUGGACAACUUCUGACGCUGAGGCACGAAAGCUAGGGGAGCAAACAGG
rnacentral:rRNA from 1 species